GCCAGCGUGGUAUAGUGGUUUGAGCGUUGGACUAUGACUCUGGAGGCAAGGGUUUGAAUCCCUUCUCAGCCA